CCAUGUUGGCCAGGCUGGUCUCGAACUCCUGACCUCGUGAUCCGCCCACUUUGGCCUUUCAAAAUGUUGGGAUCACAGGUGUGAGUCACCGCGUCUGGCCUUUCAUUGAGUUUUAAGAGUUGUUUAUCUAUGUAUUUAUUUAAUACUAGUCCUUUGUCAGAUAGGUGGUUUGCAAAUAUUUUUUAAUUUUGAUGAAGUCCAGCUUAUCAAUUUUUCUUUUUAUGGCUCAUACUUUUGGGGUCAAGUCUAAGAAUUCCUUGCUCUAGCUAGAUCCUCAAGAUUUUCUUCUGGUCAUCACAUCACACGGCCGCCGCAGGGACCAGACCCGGACGGCUCCAGAGCCUCUGCACCCAGAGGGUGGGGGGGUGGGCGACGGUGGCGACGCUUCGGCUCCUCCUGAGCUGCCUGCUGGCCCCAUGCCCCACUCCAUCCUCACAGGCUGGGGAUGGGCCCUGGCGCGGCUGUGUGGUUUCAGGAGCAGAGUUGCAGAAUCCAAGGACCCAUUUUGUUCUUUCUUUGCACUGCUUUAUGGGAGGCAUUAUGGCCCCCAAAGACAUAAUGACAAAUACUCAUGCUAAAUCCAUCCUCAAUUCAAUGAAUUCCCUCAGGAAAAGCAAUACCCUAUGAUGUGACAUUGAGAGUAGAGCAGAAAGACUUCCCUGCCCAUUGGAUUGUGCUGGUUGCCUGUAGUGAUUACUUCUGUGCCAUGUUCACUAGUGAGCUUUCACAGAAGGGGAAACCUUAUGUUGACAUCCAAAGUUUGACUGCCUCUACCAUGGACAUUUUAUCGGACUUUGUGCACACAGAAACAGUACAUGUGACAGAAUGCACAAGAACUGCUUCCUGCAACCUGUCUGCUUCAGUUGAAAGGUGUGAAACAAGCCUGUUGUGAGUUCUUAGUCAGUUGGACCCUUCUAAUUGCCUGGGUUAUUAGGGAUUUUGCUAAAACCCCAAUUGUAUUGACCUGAUGCAAGCAGCCAGAAGCAUUUUCCUGAAGUGGUAUAGCAUGAAGAGUUCAUUCUUCUGAGUCAAGGAGGGGUGGAAAAGCUAAUCAAGUGCGAUGAAAUUCAGGUGGAUUCUGAAGAGCCAGUCUUUGAGGCUGUCAUCAACUGCCUGAAGCAUGUCAAGAAACAGCGGGAAAAACCCUUGCCUAACCUGCUACAGUAUGUGCGGAUGCCCCUGCUAACCCCCAGGUAUAUCACAGAUGUAACAGAUGCUGAGCCUUUCUUCCGCUGUAGUUUACAAUGCAGGGAUCUGGUGGAUGAAGCAAAGAAGUUCAUCUGAGGCCUGAACUUCAGUGUCAGAUGCAGGGACCCAGGACAAGGGCUCACCUAGGAGCCAAUGAAGUGCUUUUGGUGGCUGGGGGCUUCGGAAGCCAGCAGUCUCCCAUUGACGUGGUAGAGAAAUAUGACCCUAAGACUCAGGAGUGGAGAUUUUUGCAAACAUCACUCGUAACAGACAUUAUGUGGCCUCAGUGUCCCUACAUGACCGAAUCUACAUUAUUGGUGGCUAUGAUAGCUGUUCCUGCCUUAGUUCAGUGGAAUGUCUAGACUACACAGCAGAUGAGGAUGGGGUCUGGUAUUCUGUGACCCCGAUGAAUGUCUGACAAGGUCUUGCUGGAGCCACCACCCGGGGAGAUAUGAUCUAUGUCUCUGGAGACUUUGAUGGAAGCAGGUGUCACACCAGUAUGGAGUGGUAUGAUCCAAACAUUGACCAGUGGAGCAUGCUGGGAGAUAUGCAGGCAGCCCAGGAAGGUGCUGGACCCGUAGUGGCCAGCGGAGUGAUCCACUGUCUAGGAGGGUAUGAUGGCUUGAAUAUCUUAAAUUCAGUUGAGAAAUAUACCCUCAUACAGGACAUCGGACUAAUGUUACAUCAAUGGCCAUCGAGUGUUCUGGUGUGGGAGUAGCCCUGCUGAAUGACCAUAUUUAUGUGGUGGGGGGAUUUGAUGGUACAGCCCACCUUUCUUCCAAUGAAGCAUACAACAUUCUCACUGAUUCCUGGACAAGUGUCACCAAUAUGACCACUCCACGAUGCAAUGUAGGGGCCACAGUGCUUUGGGGGAGACUCUAUGCAACUUCAGGAUAUGAUGGUAAUUCCCUGCUAAGUAGCAUUGAAUGUUAUGACCCUAUCAUCGACAGCUGGGAAGUCGUGACAUCCAUGGGAACCCAGCGCUGUGAUGCUGGUGUGUGUUCUCCACAAGAAGUGACCAUUGUUGGAGCACCAUCCAGAGCUAGUGACCAGUCCAGCGGACAGUUAGUGGGAGAAUCAAGAAUCCUUUCCAGAAUGUCUGUUUCUCACUGUGUGCACAGGGUGAUUACAGGCACCAGUGCAGUGAUGAUUGUACUUAUUUGACACAUACUCCCCCUCGUCCUGGUUGUUGUUCCUGAGAAGGGUGGGUAACAUACUCCAGGGAAAAGAAUGUACAUUGAAUGGAUGUAAGAGACCACAUGACCUCUCCCACUGCUUUGGGGAGCACUUUCCUGUCAUUUCUAACUUACCACGUGCUUGGUGUACUAUAUGUAUGUUGUGCCUCAUACGUCGCAAAGAACUAAGGUGAGUAUUGCCUACUAGAUGUGGGUAAUAUCCAGCCUAGAUGAUUGGAAGGAUACCAAUUUAGGUAAACUUGGUAAAAUUCAAGUAUUUUUUUUUUUUUUUCCAAGAACAAAUACAUUUUCUAAUCUCCAGGUAGCUAGGGGCAACACAGUUCCAUUCUAGAGAGAAACAAAAGGGAAAACCCCACAAAACUUUGGGGCCAAGGGAGAGAGACU